rnacentral:rRNA from 1 species
CAAAAGCGUAUAUUAAAGUUGUUGCAGUUAAAAAGCUCGUAGUUGAACCUUGGGCUUGGCUGGCCGGUCCAUCUUUUUUGAUGCGUACUGGACCCAGCCGAGCCUUUCCUUCUGGCUAGCCUUUUGGCGAACCAGGACUUUUACUUUGAAAAAAUUAGAGUGUUCAAAGCAGGCCUUUGCUCGAAUAAAUUAGCAUGGAAUAAUAGAAUAGGACGUUAUGGUUCUAUUUUGUUGGUUUCUAGGACCAUCGUAAUGAUUAAUAGGGACGGUCGGGGGUAUCAGUAUUCAGUUGUCAGAGGUGAAAUUCUUGGAUUUACUGAAGACUAACUACUGCGAAAGCAUUUACCAAGGACGUUUUCAUUAA